rnacentral:rRNA from 1 species
CAGCAGCCGCGGUAAUACGUAGGGUGCAAGCGUUAAUCGGAAUUACUGGGCGUAAAGCGUGCGCAGGCGGUUCGGAAAGAAAGAUGUGAAAUCCCAGAGCUUAACUUUGGAACUGCAUUUUUAACUACCGGGCUAGAGUGUGUCAGAGGGAGGUGGAAUUCCGCGCGUAGCAGUGAAAUGCGUAGAUAUGCGGAGGAACACCGAUGGCGAAGGCAGCCUCCUGGGAUAACACUGACGCUCAUGCACGAAAGAGUGGGGAGCAAACAGGAUUAGAUACCCUGGUAGUCCACGCCCUAAACGAUGUCAACUAGCUGUUGGGGCCUUCGGGCCUUGGUAGCGCAGCUAACGCGUGAAGUUGACCGCCUGGGGAGUACGGUCGCAAGAUUAAAACUUAAAGGAAUUGGCGGG